UUCCCCUAGUAACUGCGAGUGAAGCGGGAAAAGCUCAAAUUUAAAAUCUGGCGGUCUCUGGCCGUCCGAGUUGUAAUCUAGAGAAGUGUUACCCGCGCUGGACCGUGUACAAGUCCCCUGGAAUGGGGCGUCAUAGAGGGUGAGAAUCCCGUCUCUGACACGGACUACCAGGGCUUUGUGGUAUGCUCUCAAAGAGUCGAGUUGUUUGGGAAUGCAGCUCAAAAUGGGUGGUAAAUUCCAUCUAAAGCUAAAUAUUGGCGAGAGACCGAUAGCGAACAAGUACCGUGAGGGAAAGAUGAAAAGAACUUUGGAAAGAGAGUUAAACAGUACGUGAAAUUGCUGAAAGGGAAACGCUUGAAGUCAGUCGCGUUGGCCGGGAAUCAGCCUCGCUUUUGUGUGGUGUACUUUCUGGUUGACGGGUCAGCAUCAAUUUUGACUGCUGGAAAAAGGCUUGGGGAAUGUGGCAGCUCCGGCUGUGUUAUAGCCCCUUGUCACAUACAGCGGUUGGGAUUGAGGAACUCAGCACGCCGCAAGGCCGGGUUUCGACCACGUUCGUGCUUAGGAUGCUGGCAUAAUGGCUUUAAGCGACCCGUCUUGAAACACGGACCAAGGAGUCUAACAUGCCUGCGAGUGUUUGGGUGGAAAACCCGAGCGCGUAAUGAAAGUGAAAGUUGAGAUCCCUGUCGUGGGGAGCAUCGACGCCCGGACCAGAACUUUUGGGACGGAUCCGCGGUAGAGCAUGUAUGUUGGGACCCGAAAGAUGGUGAACUAUGCCUGAAUAGGGUGAAGCCAGAGGAAACUCUGGUGGAGGCUCGUAGCGAUUCUGACGUGCAAAUCGAUCGUCAAAUUUGGGUAUAGGGGCGAAAGACUA
rnacentral:rRNA from 1 species